rnacentral:lncRNA from 1 species
CAUAAACUAUUAACACAAAACACACCCAAGUCUACAAUAUAACUAAGAGUCUGAAGAGAUGUGACAACCAAUUCUAGCAGCAAAAAGCACAAAACACGCCCAAUUCUGCUUCCUAAGCAUAUUUUCUGGCAGCAAAAGAUAUAUUCCAGCAGCAAAAAACAUCCAAGUAAAAUGACCAAAUAUGUGUACACAUUUUGCUAUUUAAGUUCUAUUUUCUUGAGUGGUCUUCUCAAUUGCUGAACUUGAAGUGGUGGUCUUCUUCAUUGGGUUGACAAAUGUAGUCCUCUUGUGAUAUGGCAUCUUCAUGUAUAUAUUCCCAGAUUCACACUGCAUCACACCAUAGCCUUGGGAAGCAACCCUCUUUUAUUUUCUAACCAAAGUUUGAUGUGCGGCUUCAUUGCCUUUUGAAGUGCUUCUUGCAUUUGAUGUUGAUGGUUCAACUAUUUAUUGUGGUGCUUGUGUUUUGCGUGGUCUUCCUCUUUCACCCUAGCAACAAUGAGAUACAAUUGUUAGUAUAAGAUUGACUGAAAAAGUUUUAAAAAUAGAUGAAGAAAGAACAUAAUAUAACCUUUGUUUUAGGUUGCUUGUCAACAAGUGUAUUUUUGCAUCCUCUGCUGUUAUGACCUUGCUGAAAACACUUUUGGCAUGUCAU